ACGAACGCUGGCGGCGUGCUUAACCCCUGCCCGUCGAACGGAAAGGCCCUGCUUUUGUGGGGUGCUCGAGUGGCGAACGGGUGAGUAACACGUGAGUAACCUGCCCUUGACUUUGGGAUAACUUCAGGAAACUGGGGCUAAUACCGGAUAGGAGCUCCUGCUGCAUGGUGGGGGUUGGAAAGUUUCGGCGGUUGGGGAUGGACUCGCGGCUUAUCAGCUUGUUGGUGGGGUAGUGGCUUACCAAGGCUUUGACGGGUAGCCGGCCUGAGAGGGUGACCGGCCACAUUGGGACUGAGAUACGGCCCAGACUCCUACGGGAGGCAGCAGUGGGGAAUAUUGCACAAUGGGCGGAAGCCUGAUGCAGCAACGCCGCGUGCGGGAUGACGGCCUUCGGGUUGUAAACCGCUUUCGCCUGUGACGAAGCGUGAGUGACGGUAAUGGGUAAAGAAGCACCGGCUAACUACGUG
rnacentral:rRNA from 1 species